rnacentral:rRNA from 1 species
GACGAACGCUGGCGGCGUGCUUCAAACAUGCAAGUCGAACGGAGUGAGAGCGAGCUUGCUCGCUCUCACUUAGUGGCGGACUGGUGAGUAACGCGUGAGCAAUCUGCCUAUCAAAGGGGGAUAACAGAGGGAAACUUCUGCUAAUACCGCAUAAGACCACGGUGGGGCAUCCCACAGGGGUCAAAGGAGCAAUCCGAUGAUAGAUGAGCUUGCGUUUCAUUAGCUAGUUGGUAAGGUAACGGCUUACCAAGGCGACGAUGAAUAGCCGAUCUGAGAGGAUGACCGGCCACACUGGGACUGAGAUACGGCCCAG